rnacentral:misc_RNA from 1 species
AACGCACAUUGCGCCCCUGGGAAUUCCCAGGGGCAUGCCUGUUCGAGCGUCCGUAACAACCUCUCAAGCCUGGCUUGGUAUUGGGACUCGCUGCCUCGGUGGUGGUCCUCAAAAGCAGUGGCGGGCCCAUGUAACUCUCCGCGUAGUAAUACAUCUCGCGACAGAGAAGCAGCGGGACUUGCCAAAACUCCUUAAUUGCUCAGGCUGACCUCGAAUCAGGUAGGGAUACCCGCUGAACUUAA